CCAAUAGCGUAUAUGAAAGUUGUUGCAGUUAAAAAGCUCGUAGUUGAAUUUCGGGAUCAGUAUGCUGGUCGUGCCUUCGGUAUGUACUGGUGUCACUGAUUCCUCCCUUCUGACGAACCGUUAUGCCAUUUAUUUGGUGUGGCGGGGAAUCAGGACUGUUACUUUGAAAAAAUUAGAGUGUUUAAAGCAGGCCAGCGCUUGAAUACAUUAGCAUGGAAUAAUGAAAUAGGACGUUUGAUUCUAUUUUGUUGGUUUCUAGGAUCGACGUAAUGAUUAAUAGGGAUAGUUGGGGGCAUUAGUAUUCAAUUGUCAGAGGUGAAAUUCUUGGAUUUAUUGAAGACUAACUACUGCGAAAGCAUUUGCCAAGGAUGUUUUCAUUAAUCAAGAACGAAAGUCAGGGGAUCGAAGACGAUCAGAUACCGUCGUAGUCUUAACCAUAAACUAUGCCGACUAGGGAUCGGAUGAUGUUAAUUUUUUAAUGACUCAUUCGGCGCCUUACG
rnacentral:rRNA from 1 species